rnacentral:tRNA from 1 species
GUCUCGGAAGUGUAAGGGAUAGAGCACGGUCCUCAGAAAGCACAAGCACGGGUUCGAGCCCCGUCCAAGACU